rnacentral:rRNA from 1 species
GGGACACGUGGUAUCCUGUCUGAAUAUGGGGGGACCAUCCUCCAAGGCUAAAUACUCCUGACUGACCGAUAGUGAACCAGUACCGUGAGGGAAAGGCGAAAAGAACCCCGGCGAGGGGAGUGAAAAAGAACCUGAAACCGUGUACGUACAAGCAGUGGGAGCACCUUCGGGUGUGACUGCGUACCUUUUGUAUAAUGGGUCAGCGACUUAUAUUCUGUAGCAAGGUUAACCGUAUAGGGGAGCCGAAGGGAAACCGAGUCUUAACUGGGCGUUAAGUUGCAGGGUAUAGACCCGAAACCCGGUGAUCUAGCCAUGGGCAGGUUGAAGGUUGGGUAACACUAACUGGAGGACCGAACCGACUAAUGUUGAAAAAUUAGCGGAUGACCUGUGGCUGGGGGUGAAAGGCCAAUCAAACCGGGAGAUAGCUGGUUCUCCCCGAAAGCUAUUUAGGUAGCGCCUCGUGAACUCAUCUUCGGGGGUAGAGCACUGUUUCGGCUAGGGGGCCAUCCCGGCUUACCAACCCGAUGCAAACUACGAAUACCGAAGAAUGUUAUCACGGGAGACACACGGCGGGUGCUAACGUCCGUCGUGAAGAGGGAAACAACCCAGACCGCCAGCUAAGGUCCCAAAGUCAUGGUUAAGUGGGAAACGAUGUGGGAAGGCACAGACAGCCAGGAUGUUGGCUUAGAAGCAGCCAUCAUUUAAAGAAAGCGUAAUAGCUCACUGGUCGAGUCGGCCUGCGCGGAAGAUGUAACGGGGCUAAACCAUG